rnacentral:rRNA from 1 species
GACGAACGCUGGCGGCGUGCCUAAUACAUGCAAGUCGAGCGGCCCAAACAGGAGCUUGCUCUUGUAUGGUUAGCGGCGGACGGGUGAGUAACACGUGGGUAACCUGCUCGUAAGACCGGGAUAACUCCGGGAAACCGGAGCUAAUACCAGAUAACACCGCAGACCGCAUGGUCUAUGGUUGAAAGGCAGCUUGGGCGGCUGCUUACGCCGGGGCCCGCGUCGCAUUAGCUCGGUGGUAAGGUAACGGCUCACCAAGGCCCCGAUGCGUACGCGGCCUGUGAGGGUGGACGGCCACACUGGGAAUGAGACACGGCCCAGGCUCCCACGGGAGGCAGCAGUAGGGAAACUUCCGCCAUGGGCGGAAGGCUGACGGAGCGACGCCGCGUGGGCGGAGAAGGUCUUCGGAGCGUAAAGCUCUGUUGUUAGGGAAGAAGAAGCGCCGUGCGAACAGGGCGGCGCGGUGACGGUACCUAACGAGAAAGCCCCGGCUAACUACGUG